rnacentral:rRNA from 1 species
UACGUAGGUGGCGAGCGUUGUCCGGAUUUACUGGGCGUAAAGCGCGCGUAGGCGGCUUUGCAAGUCGGGUGUGAAAUCCCCAGGCUCAACCUGGGAACUGCAUUCGAGACUGCAUUGCUAGAGUAUGGGAGAGGGAAGUGGAAUUUCCGGUGUAGCGGUGAAAUGCGUAGAUAUCGGAAGGAACAUCAGUGGCGAAAGCGACUUCCUGGACCAAUACUGACGCUCAUGUGCGAAAGCGUGGGGAGCAAACAGG